GGGCUCGCAGGCGGUUUCUUAAGUCUGAUGUGAAAGCCCCCGGCUCAACCGGGGAGGGUCAUUGGAAACUGGGAAACUUGAGUGCAGAAGAGGAGAGUGGAAUUCCACGUGUAGCGGUGAAAUGCGUAGAGAUGUGGAGGAACACCAGUGGCGAAGGCGACUCUCUGGUCUGUAACUGACGCUGAGGAGCGAAAGCGUGGGGAGCGAACAGGAUUAGAUACCCUGGUAGUCCACGCCGUAAACGAUGAGUGCUAAGUGUUAGGGGGUUUCCGCCCCUUAGUGCUGCAGCUAACGCAUUAAGCACUCCGCCUGGGGAGUACGGUCGCAAGACUGAAACUCAAAGGAAUUGACGGGGGCCCGCACAAGCGGUGGAGCAUGUGGUUUAAUUCGAAGCAACGCGAAGAACCUUACCAGGUCUUGACAUCCUCUGACAACCCUAGAGAUAGGGCUUUCCCUUCGGGGACAGAGUGACAGGUGGUGCAUGGUUGUCGUCAGCUCGUGUCGUGAGAUGUUGGGUUAAGUCCCGCAACGAGCGCAACCCUUGAUCUUAGUUGCCAGCAUUCAGUUGGGCACUCUAAGGUGACUGCCGGUGACAAACCGGAGGAAGGUGGGGAUGACGUCAAAUCAUCAUGCCCCUUAUGACCUGGGCUACACACGUGCUACAAUGGACAGAACAAAGGGCUGCGAGACCGCAAGGUUUAGCCAAUCCCACAAAUCUGUUCUCAGUUCGGAUCGCAGUCUGCAACUCGACUGCGUGAAGCUGGGAUCGCUAGUAAUCGCGGAUCAGCAUGCCGCGGUGAAUACG
rnacentral:rRNA from 1 species